rnacentral:rRNA from 1 species
GACGAACGCUGGCGGCGUGCUUAACACAUGCAAGUCGAACGGAAAGGCCCUGCUUUUGUGGGGUGCUCGAGUGGCGAACGGGUGAGUAACACGUGAGUAACCUUCCCUUGACUUUGGGAUAACUUCAGGAAACUGGGGCUAAUACCGGAUAGGAGCUCCUGCUGCAUGGUGGGGGUUGGAAAGUUUCGGCGGUUGGGGAUGGACUCGCGGCUUAUCAGCUUGUUGGUGGGGUAGUGGCUUACCAAGGCUUUGACGGGUAGCCGGCCUGAGAGGGUGACCGGCGACAUUGGGACUGAGAUACGGCCCAGACUCCUACGGGAGGCGGCAGUGGGGAAUAUUGCACAAUGGGCGGAAGCCUGAUGCAGCAACGCCGCGUGCGGGAUGACGGCCUUCGGGUUGUAAACCGCUUUCGCCUGUGACGAAGCGUGAGUGACGGUAAUGGGUAAAGAAGCACCGGCUAACUACGUG